UACGUAGGGGCCUAGCGUUGUCCGGAUUUAUUGGGCGUAAAGAGCUCGUAGGCGGCUUGUCGCGUCGAAUGUGAAAACUCGGGGCUCAACUCCGAGCUUGCAUUCGAUACGGGCAGGCUAGAGUUCGGUAGGGGAGACUGGAAUUCCUGGUGUAGCGGUGUAAUGCGCAGAUAUCAGGAGGAACACCAAUGGCGAAGGCAGAUCUCUGGGCCGUAACUGACGCUGAGGAGCGAAAGCAUGGGGAGCGAACAGG
rnacentral:rRNA from 1 species